AUCAAGAAAUCAGUGUUAGCUAGCUAGUAACAUUAGCUGGAAGCUAGCAAAAUGUAGAGGGAGCUGUCGUAACCCAGGUGGAUACUGUCAACUAUAUGAACGAUUUUGACACUCCCCCAGAAGUAACGGUACCGACGUCGGAGUAAAUUCGUUUUCGGUACAGGUGUCCAAUAACCCCUUCGAAACCCCCCAACCUGAAGAGAUUACGAAAAAGUGACGCCGGGCAGACUAAACCACCCCAGCCUAUCACCAAUGAAGGCAAUCCAGGGUUUAAUUAAACAAGAAAUUUGACGAACAAGCUAUUCGGUUGAAUGGCUUUAAUGAGAUGAUUCAUAAAAAUACCCUCUAGAUUGCAGACGUUUCCAAAACGACAGAUUUGAAUGUAGCAGGCAUUAAGGGUAUCACCCUUACCUGGCCCUGGCCAAAGAAAACGAGGUGCUGCGCACAAGCCAGGGCCGCAGGGUGGAGGAACGUGACUGAUUGAUUCACGCUUUACGAGUUAAAGCCAUAUACUUUUUCAACUGGUGAGUUUAUUCAUGCAGUCGUUUAUCUGAACACGGCAUAUAGGUGAUAUUGCAUAGGGCGGUAAUGUUUGUAGUGGCGAGUUUUGGAUGUGAGCAUUAACCAACGUAAGCAUACUAAAUGUGGUUUUUGUUCAUUUUGUUUCAAGAUCGAUAUUAUACCGGGGUGAUGUAUGGAAAGGACAUUUUCCCAUCGUUAAAGGACAUUACAUUUCUUUGUGACAGACCGUGGUGAUGGAUGGAAAGGACAUUUUCCUGUCAUUAAAGGGUGAGAUAUUGUGUAUUCUAUAAUAAUUUAAGGUCCAUAAAUAUUUGAUGCAAAAUAAUGAAAGCUUAAUGUAGUUCAGAUAGAGCACGAUCAGCAGGGCGGGCGAUAGAUUACACAACUGUAUCAACGGCUUGAAUUUCUGACAAAAUAAUAUUAUCAAUGUAUACAAUAUAUUUGUUUAUUAGACCUACCAACAUAUAACACAAUAUUGAGAUCCUAAAAAAUGUAUAUGCAACAUUUUCUCAACUGUCAUCCUCGUGCUUUUUGCUUUAUAUAUAUGCUCUGCUAGUCCUAAAUCCCGACAUAAUCCACACAUAUGUGAUUGUUAUAACUGUUCUACGUUGUGUGGGGAACACACAUAUGAAGCUAGCCAACGAACUACCAGCUUCAGCAAAACAUUGCUAGCGGUCUUCAGCUAACCGGUCAUCAGCUAACCUUUAGCUCGGAAAGCUCUCGCCAGU